rnacentral:rRNA from 1 species
GACGAACGCUGGCGGCGUGCUUAACACAUGCAAGUCGAACGGAAAGGUCCUGCUUUUGUGGGGUGCUCGAGUGGCGAACGGGUGAGUAACACGUGAGUAACCUGCCCUUGACUUUGGGAUAACUUCAGGAAACUGGGGCUAAUACCGGAUAGGAGCUCCUGCUGCAUGGUGGGGGUUGGAAAGUUUCGGCGGUUGGGGAUGGACUCGCGGCUUAUCAGCUUGUUGGUGGGGUAGUGGCUUACCAAGGCUUUGACGGGUAGCCGGCCUGAGAGGGUGACCGGCCACAUUGGGACUGAGAUACGGCCCAGACUCCUACGGGAGGCAGCAGUGGGGAAUAUUGCACAAUGGGCGGAAGCCUGAUGCAGCAACGCCGCGUGCGGGAUGACGGCCUUCGGGUUGUAAACCGCUUUCGCCUGUGACGAAGCGUGAGUGACGGUAAUGGGUAAAGAAGCACCGGCUAACUACG